GCUUACUGCACUUACUAGCAUAUCAAGAAUGGUUCCAUAUCAAUCUGAAGCCAUUUUAACAUAGUAGUCUCUGUGUUUUACACUCUCUGUGCCUCUCCUGUGUGUGAACAUUUGUCUGGCCAUACAUUCCUCCGGAGCACUAACCUUGACACCAAGAACAACUUACUCCCAUCUGGGUUAAGCCAUAGGUGGAACGCUGCUACUCCAGCUAUUUCAAUUUGUCUGCAUAUUCCACAUCUAAUCUUGGUAAUGCCAAGGGUCUAGUUCUUGAGUUUUUAGAGCAUCUGAGCUUUGGCCAUUUUGGUAGGCUUUUAAUCCAAUCUGCCAUCUAACAGCCUAGAAAAAAUUUAAACCAAGCUCCAAUUUCUCAUAGAAACCCUGUCUUCAAGAUCUGCCACACAUAUGAAAAGUUGCAAUGCCAGAAGCACAUGCUUCUGAACAAAAAGUAUACCAGUGAAAACUAUUGUGCAGUGAAAAAGGCAUCUGGUGAAACGUGUUGAAAAAAAGGUGGGGGGGGAGGUAUCCACACACACCCAUUUCUUAUACACACAUCCCAUAUCAUUCUCGAUCAUCUCAGGAAUAGGGAUCAACAGAGUAAUGUACAGAGGUAUAAAAAGAAAAGCUAGCAAAGGCAAGCAAAGCCACCAUGUAGGAGUAAGGAACUGCAUAGGAAACAGUAGUAAAGGUGUGGGUUGUGUCCAGUUUUUAAAAACAGGACUUAUUCACAGGCCAUGGAGCAAACACCAUAAAUCUGGUCACUGGAUGAAAACAAAUGCUGAAGGCCAAAGCCUGGGGGUUUUCAGUUAGUAUUUCAAUCGGGAAGCCAAUAAACUAUUAAAACGGAGCUAUUCCCUAGAUUCUGGCCUAUAAAACCACCCCACAAGAGAGAAAUCAUCUAACGGCCUGUGUCUCCUCACCACAGUGAUUGCUGAUAAAAACAGCAACCUCAUCUUAAGAAAAAUAAUCCCCCCAUCCCCCGCAAAGGAAACAAACGUACAAAGAAGACAAAGCAUGCACAUGCGUUUCAAAGGAUAUGAUCAAAUGCAAACUAAUAAAAUAGAAACAACUAAUAAAAAGAAAUCUCAGUUUGAAAUCCCAUCAGGAAGCCCAUCUCUGAUUCUGCUCUUGGAAUCCUCUCAGAUUCUGUUCUUGGAAUCCAAUCCCUACCUCAGACUGGGCUGACACUAGCUUUUCUCCCUAGAGUAGUUAACAAAACAAUGAGUGAUCAGAAAAGAGAUGUCAGGAGUCCCGUGGUCAGAAUCUCACACUCAGGAAGUCUGUGUAUUCAUAGCGAUGGAUCUACCAGGAAGCCCUUUCAGGCAGACCAUGUUUGAAGGAAAGCAUCCUCCUCGGGGCCUCUGUUUUGAGCACACUGACUGAUCAGGGCUCCAACCAGUAUCCUUGUUUCCCUGCCGAUCCUCUAAGUUGCUUUCAAGGUGGAGAAUUCCCAAAUCACUAAACUGCCUAUUACAAUACUAUCCUGAGACAGGGAAGUGAAAGGUCUUGGUCCUGGAAGAGCCCUGCCACGCCCCCUGUGAAGUCACUGGCCCAAAGGUGGGCCAGGAAACACAUUUCCACUCCUUUACACAGUGAGUUGCCCCAGAAAUGUGAGUGUGAAGCCAUGUUGGUUCUAUCAGCCCCAGCUGAGGUCUCAGAUGAAAGCAGCCACCUGAGUGAUCCCAGAUGACAACACAUGGCGAAGAAGGACUGCCCAGCUAAACCCGCCUGCCACACAGAAUUAUGAGAAAACUGAUACCCAAGGAAAUGAAGUGAGUCUCCCAACAUCAAAAUACAGCUUGGAGCCUACAUCUCCGGUUUACAAAUAUCAGACCACAUGCCAGUGCCCAUUCAUGAAGAAAAUGAAAACAACCAAAACAACAACAAAAAACCCCACAGUGCAAUGCCGUAAAUUCUGCAUAAAGCUAAGGUAUUCUAUUUAAAUAUCUAAUAUUAAUUUGAGAUUCCUAAAGGGGGAUGUAUAUAUGUGGUUAUGUAUGUGAAAAUGUCCUUUAAUUUAUGAAAUGAUUCUGACAUGUAAUAUGCUUUUUAAUGUACUUAUUUAACAAAAUUAAAGGGUUGAUAACUGUAUUAUGUUGAUCUUCAAAAUAAAAAAAAAAUUUUGCUGGUUC
rnacentral:lncRNA from 10 species